rnacentral:rRNA from 1 species
UACGAAGGGGGCGAGCGUUGUUCGGAUUUACUGGGCGUAAAGGGCGCGCAGGCGGUUCUGUUUGUCGAGUGUGAAAGCCCCGGGCUCAACCUGGGAACUGCGCUCGAAACGGCGGAACUAGAGUUCGGGAGAGGAGAGUGGAAUUCCCAGUGUAGAGGUGAAAUUCGUAGAUAUUGGGAAGAACACCGGUGGCGAAGGCGGCUCUCUGGAACGGUACUGACGCUGAGACGCGAAAGCGUGGGGAGCGAACAGG